GGUGGGUUGGCUUGUCAGGUUGAUUCCGGUAACGAACGAGACCUCAGCCUGCUAAAUAGUAGCUCCCGGUUCGCCGGGAGGCAGACUUCUUAGAGGGACUAUUAGCGACUAUCAGCUAAUUGAAGUAUGAGGCAAUAACAGGUCUGUGAUGCCCUUAGAUGUUCUGGGCCGCACGCGCGCUACACUGACGCAAUCAACGAGCCUCCUGGUCUCGAGAGGAUCGGGUAAUCUUGUAAACUGCGUCGUGAUGGGGCUAGAGCUUUGUAAUUAUUGCUCUUCAACGAGGAAUGCCUAGUAAGCGCGAGUCAUCAGCUCGCGUUGAUUACGUCCCUGCCCUUUGUACACACCGCCCGUCGCUCCUUCCGAUUGGGUGUGCUGGUGAAGAGUUCGGACUGGACCUGGCUAGCAAUAGCCCCGGUACGGGAAGUCCUU
rnacentral:rRNA from 1 species